rfam:Rhizoctonia solani AG-1 IA unplaced genomic scaffold scaffold47, whole genome shotgun sequence.
GGCGAGAAAGUGUAUUGGUAGCACAGUAGUCUCAUGAACUGCUAGUUUAGGUUCGAUUCCUGAUGUCGCCA